AUUGCUUCCCUCUUAGACUGAGUUUGUAUCUGCAGUUCGUAUUCUUGAGAUAAAGUAUGAACUACUUUAUUAAAUAUAUUAUUCUCAGUGUGGCAGUAUACACCUCGGCAAUAGGUCCUGAAAUUCAAUACAUGUUUGGAUGCUUUGAUUCAGGUGAUUUUCAGGUUGUUAUGGAGGUAGAUGGGGAUGAGGUGUUCUAUGUAGACUUCAAAAAAAAGGAGGCAAUGUGGACAGUCCCUCACUUCCAAAAUUUUAAAUAUGCUAAGUUUAGACAAUUAGUUUACCAAUAUAGUGAACUGAGCAGAACAUUUUGCCAUACCAACUUAAUCCAGGAGAGAAACUGGGCUGCCUCCUUCCCACCAAACCUCAAAGCACCUGGAAGCACCAUUUACCCCAAAGAAAAAAUUGAGCUGGGGUCAGAAAACACCUUAAUUUGCUUUGUGAAUGAUUUCUUCCCUCCAUCCAUCAACGUGAAGUGGACCAAGAAUAACGUGGAACUGACAGAGGGGUCAUUGGGUCGUUAUCACCUUAACAAAGAUGGAACGUUCUUCCAGGUUUCCACCCUUACUUUUACCCCUCAGGAUGGAGACGUCUAUGCCUGCACUGUGGAGCACCCAGCCUUGGAGAGCCCCCGAACCCGAUUCUGGGAGGUGGAGGUGAAUGAGUCCAGUGCAGGUCCAGCUGUGUUCUGUGGAGUGGGUCUGACUCUGGGGCUUUUAGGAGUGGCAGCCGGAACAUUUCUCCUUGUAAAACAACCACAGUCAAAUCAGGGUGCUUGAAGAAGAACAACAAACGAGUAAAAGUAUAUAUUACAUUCAAUGAUUAGACCCUGUGACUUAUUUCUCUUCUGGACAGAUAAUAGAGGUUGGCAACAGCUACAGAGAGUCACGAGGGUUACUACAUUUUUUGAGAAGACAACUGGUUAGGUUCUUACUGUCAGCUGCUACAGGAAGUGGCAAGUAAAAAAAAACAUUCCUCCUUGUAAAACAACCACAGUCAAAUCAGGGUGCUUGAAGAGGAACAAGUCAAAGUAUAUUUUACAUUCAAUUAUUAGACCCUCUAACUUAUUUAUCUUCCGGACAGUUAUAUUAGCAAUACAAUUGCUGAUUUAAGUUACACAGUACCAUUAUAUAUAAUAACAGAUGACUCUUGUACUGUUACAUUAUAAUCUGUAUGUCCCUUUAA